rnacentral:rRNA from 1 species
AACGAACGCUGGCGGCAUGCCUAACACAUGCAAGUCGAACGAGACCUUCGGGUCUAGUGGCGCACGGGUGCGUAACGCGUGGGAACCUGCCCUUAGGUUCGGAAUAACUCCCCGAAAGGGGUGCUAAUACCGGAUAAUGUCUUCGGACCAAAGAUUUAUCGCCUUUGGAUGGGCCCGCGUUGGAUUAGCUAGUUGGUAGGGUAAAAGCCUACCAAGGCGACGAUCCAUAGCUGGUCUGAGAGGAUGAUCAGCCACACUGGGACUGAGACACGGCCCAGACUCCUACGGGAGGCAGCAGUGGGGAAUAUUGGACAAUGGGCGAAAGCCUGAUCCAGCAAUGCCGCGUGAGUGAUGAAGGCCUUAGGGUUGUAAAGCUCUUUUACCCGGGUUGAUAAUGACAGUACCGGGAGAAUAAGCUCCGGCUAACUCCGUG